AUGAACCUAACGAGUGUGCAGAGGGCUUGGGUUCCCGGAGGCCGCCCCGGGGCUGGAAAGAAUGACCCAGGCGGCCCAGGCUCAGCCAGGUGUCUUCGCAAGGGUGGCAGGCGCCACUGCCCCCUGCCCGCACGGCUGACGGCUGGGGGUUCGGCUGGGACUUGUGACCAGAGCUCCUCGGUUUCCCUGUCCCGGCGCUGUGUGGCCCCGGUUUGCAGCAAGAAGCUGGAUCCCGAGGGAGACGCAGACGGCGCCAGCCGUGCUGAGAUGGAGGUUCGCGUUCUGUGGGCGAAGCAGCGCGGACGCACCGGACAGCCGCAUCCCUCAGCCCUGGAACCAGCAUCAGAGACAGCCGCGGAUCUGCGUGGGCCAUGGCCACGUAGCAGGCUCCGCGUACCAAGUGCUUCCUGUGCCACCGGUCAUCGGCUCACGCUCAUCUGGUCGCACAGCUCGGAAGCAGCAGGGCUGGAUGUGGCCACCCCUCGCCUGCUCCCCUCCUGCGGUGAGAAUGGGGUGGGGGCACACGGGCCCCUGGGGCUUCCACUGCUGCAGGCGGCGGGGGCCUGUCUGGGGGCCUGCCCUGUGCAGGGAUUGGUGCUGUUCUCACCGGACCCUGAGCCACAAGAGCCGGCUGGGCCGGGGCCCUCGCUGCCCCAGCUCGCUGCCCCGCCGACCCCUCAGCAGCACCCGCCAGAGCCAGCCUCCCAGCUGCCCUGA
rnacentral:lncRNA from 1 species